rnacentral:rRNA from 1 species
AACGAACGCUGGCGGCAUGCCUAACACAUGCAAGUCGAACGAGACCUUCGGGUAUAGUGGCGCACGGGUGCGUAACGCGUGGGAACCUGCCCUUAGGUUCGGAAUAACUCUCCGAAAGGGGUGCUAAUACCGGAUAAUGUCUUCGGACCAAAGAUUUAUCGCCUUUGGAUGGGCCCGCGUUGGAUUAGCUAGUUGGUAGGGUAAAAGCCUACCAAGGCGACGAUCCAUAGCUGGUUUGAGAGGAAGAUCAGCCACACUGGGACUGGGACACGGCCCAGACUCCUACGGGAGGCAGCAGUGGGGAAUAUUGGACAAUGGGCGAAAGCCUGAUCCAGCAAUGCCGCGUGAGUGAUGAAGGCCUUAGGGUUGUAAAGCUCUUUUACCCGGGAUGAUAAUGACGGUACCGGGAGAAUAAGCUCCGGCUAACUCCGUG